UACGUAGGGAGCGAGCGUUGUCCGGAUUCAUUGGGCGUAAAGAGCUCGUAGGCGGCUUGGUAAGUCGGAUGUGAAACCUCCAGGCUCAACCUGGAGUCGCCAUCCGAUACUGCCAUGGCUAGAGUCCGGUAGGGGCCCACGGAAUUCCUGGUGUAGCGGUGAAAUGCGCAGAUAUCAGGAGGAACACCGGUGGCGAAGGCGGGUCUCUGGGCAACAACUGACGCUGAGGAGCGAAAGCGUGGGGAGCGAACAGG
rnacentral:rRNA from 1 species